GCCGAUUGCAUCUUUGUUCACGGACCUUUGGGUCAUCUGCAGGUUGCAAGGUCAGUUUAAUGUACUGCAACCAGGAUGAAUGUGCAUAAGUCUGGAAUUGAGAUUCCCAAUAUUCACAUUGUCGAUAACAAGAUCAUGGUGUUUAUUGCUGACUCGCCUUUCAGCAGGCAGUGGAUGCAGAUUUCUUGGGUGUUCAGGAGGGCAGCAGCCUCGAUGCGGCGAUCAAGUCACUCCUUAGCGC